AAAGAUUUAGUGAUCUUAAGAAGAAAAUAUUAAUUUUUCAAUGAUCAAGAUGUAAGGUUUACACAUAAUAUAUAUAUAAGUGUAUAUGAAUAAUAUUAUUAUCUUAAAUAUUCAUCAUUAAGAAAUUAUUUAAUAAUUAUUGAGGUUUUAAAAUAAAAUGUAUAGGAUGAAAAUAAUUUAAGGUCCUAAAGUUAUUAGUAUGAUAAUAAUCCAGCUAGUGUACUAGUAUAGCCGUAAGAUGUUAUUUUUAGUAUUAAAAGAUAAAUGUUAUUGAACCUAAUAACUAUUUAUCAAAAAUUUAUGUGCUAACUAGUUGACAUGAUCUUGCACGAUUCCCGUCUAUUAUUUGUAUAAUUUUGUCAAUGCAUUUUUAUUGUUUGCAUUGAUCAAUUAUUGAAUGAGAGUCUGUGUUACGAUAUAUUAACAUGCUAUACUAGUGACACAUACGCAUAUUUUGUUAGUGUGAUGAUUCUUCUUCAUAAUUUAGUUGUAUAAAAUUAUCUUUGUUUAUAAGUUGGGGUGAUGUUUGUGAGAAUGAAUAGAUAUUAUUAUUCAUUAGGCCAAUUUUGUAGGAAAUGAUUAAAAAAUAAUCUCAAUUU
rnacentral:lncRNA from 1 species